AAAAAAUAGGGAGGCAAACACGUUAUAUGUGACUGUGAGAUAGUAAAGUACUGCAAAAGCUUGAGGUUCAACUCGGCUGCUAAGAUCCAAUGAAUGACAAGUAUUCACGCAUCCUUCAAGUGGAAGACUAGUCCUUUCAGGUACGGAGCAAUAAGGUUUAGUCCUCUUCAGAAGUUGCACCUUCAGGGCACAAACCUUUAUCCUCCCCUAGGACUAGGAGCAAAGAUUGCUUAGCACUAUGCCUAACUCCUAGAGGGUAUCCCUCCCUCUUGUCAUUAACAUAAUAAUAAACUAUUGGUUUCCAGAUA